rnacentral:rRNA from 1 species
GACGAACGCUGGCGGCGUGCUUAACACAUGCAAGUCGAACGGGAAGGCCCUGCUUUUGUGGGGUGCUCGAGUGGCGAACGGGUGAGUAACACGUGAGUAACCUGCCAUUGACUUUGGGAUAACUUCAGGAAACUGUGGCUAAUACCGGAUAGGAGCUCCUGCUGCAGGGUGGGGGUUGGAAAGUGUCGGCGGUUGGGGAGGGACACGCGGCUUAUCAGCUUGUUGGUGGGGGAGUGGCUUACCAAGGCUUUGACGGGUAGCCGGCCGGCGAGGGGGACCGGCCGCAUUGGGACUGAGAUACGGCCCAGACUCCUACGGGAGGAAGCAGUGGGGAAGAUUGCACAAUGGGCGGAAGCCUGAUGCAGGAGCGCCGCGGCCGGGAUGACGGCCUUCGGGUUGUAAACCGCUUUCGCCUGUGACGAAGCGUGAGUGACGGUAAUGGGUAAAGAAGCACCGGCUAACUCCGUG